GGGAAGGAGCACAGCAGACACAGGUGACUCUUGUAAAGGAGAGAUGGGGCUAAUCAAGGAAGGCUGGACCCCAAUCAAGGCUGUUGAGUGGGCCGAGGAAUGGCUAUAUAUACCACCACAUGGGUCACUGCUGUAUCUACUACUGCCAUUUAUUGUGUUUAGCUUUUUAGCACCACAACUUGUGGCCACAGUGCCUGGAUGGGAGACCAGUGGGAACCCUUUGAAAACUGCUUUGAGUUCAGUCAUGGAAGAAAAAGGCAGAAAACACAUGAAAUAAACAAAUAACUUUCAAUCUUGUGCUGUUGUUCCAAGCACUACUUUUAUGCUGCUGCAUUAAAGUUAUCCUUAUAUGUA